CGCGGGGUGGAGCAGCCUGGUAGCUCGUCGGGCUUACAACCCGAAGGUCGUCGGUUCAAAUCCGGCCCCCGCAACCA
rnacentral:tRNA from 1 species